UUCUUCACUAGUUCUCCAAUACAUAUACUUGGAAAAAUACAGUUCGAAAAUCUGAUUUCUGAAUCUGUUUUUCAGAAAGCCUAUGAAGUCAGUGAUGACUUGCCUUGUUAUAGGUCACAAAGCAUGAGUUGUGAAUGUUAGUUAGUUAAACCUCAUGUAGAACUCCAUGAGGAAGAUAAUACUUGUGUUAAACCAGCAACUUAAAAGUUAUGUCUAUCAGUCAGCUGCUAAUUCUAUUUUUCUCUAAUUGUCUCGCAGACUAAAGCAUUUUCCACGUAAUGACUGACUGUGAUUUCUUUUGCUUGCAUUGCCCUUUUCAAAACUUUUCUUCAUUCCUCAGGGCUGGAGUGACCUUUAUAUCUAUAUAAAUGCCUCUCAGAUCAUUACACUUCACCAUAAAGCAGAACUCAAGGAAGAAAACCGAUCACUCCACUAUGCAUUUGCGCUGAGAUGCACGAGGGAUGGUGUCACACAGCAACACGCUGCUUCAACACGCACAGCAAGAAUUCAGCCUUCUGCAGACAUGUCUGCUGACGUAGAAGGGUUCCUCACCAGUGAGUAUUUCUAAUAAUAGACAGGAAAUUAAUCUUAUUCGUUUGUUUUAUUGAGCCUGUUCUUGUUUGGGGCAUACAUCUCAUCAGGACAAAAUAAUAAUAAAACAACUCUGAAAUAAUAGGCAUAGCCACACUAUACUGUGCUUGAUUAUAGAUCUGGUUAGCUCCUAGCUGAGUGGAGGUGUGAUGUUCAAGUUAUCAGGGGCUCAUCUAUCAAAGGAAAACCUGCACGGGGUAAGGACUGCUCAUGUAAGGAAUGUGGAAACUUUGAAGAGAGAGAUGACAUUGGCAGAAGUGCUUUUCCCACAAGCAGCAGAGACCAAGCAGACCUCUCCCUCUGGAACUGAACUGGUUUCAGGUUGGAACAUUAGCAGCUUACAUGGCUUCUGCUGCCCACAGCAGCAGGCCUGGGCUCUGACACACAGCUUCCCUUCCAGCUCUGGGUUUGCUCUUGAGUGCCUCCUUACUGUGUGCAGAGGAAGGAGGUGUGAGAACUGGGCAUUUCUUCCCCCUCUUGCUUUUAUCCAGUGUCAUCAGUAGAUGAGUCACUUUCUCCUGUAAUCCAGGUAGUUAUGAAGUGUCUGGGUGAUUAAUGUGGGUGAGGGCACACACCUUCCCAGCGUUCUUCAGCACAGCUUCACAGCAUGAAUAUAUACAUAAUAAAAGACUAUCAAAGCUGAGAGUCAGUAUUUGCUGAAAUAAAGACACUGGAAAUGA